rnacentral:rRNA from 1 species
GAAGGAAAGUUGCAAAGCACUUUGAAGAGAGAGUUAAAGAGGACGUGAAACCGGUGGGGUGGAAACGGAUAGAGUCGGCGUAUCUAACGUGUAUUCAAACAAUGUGCUGUGGAUAGCUUUGCCUUUUGCUUGCAGAUUGUGGCAGAGGUUUUGUUAUUCCUCGGUGCAGUGUUGCAUUUGCACGUGGUGUGCGUAGAGGCGUCAGAAGUGGAGGUGUGAUCUCAGUUUUGAGGCCAGCUUGCUGGUACCCAAUCUGUGUAAGCGCUUUUCGCCUCGGACGUUUUGGUGCAUGGCUUACGGGCUCGGCUGGGUUCCGAGCUGGAGGUCGGCGGCGGUCGCAUGCGACACGUGCUUUCACCUAGUUCGGUCCUUGUCGAGCUCACAUGCGCACUCUCUGCGUAAAAGCUGGUCAUCUAUCCGACCCGUCUUGAAACACGGACCAAGGAGUUUAUCGUGUGCGCGAGCCAUUGGGUGUUGAAAACCCAAAGGCGCAAUGAAAGUGAAUGCUCUCGCAAGAGGCUAAUGUGCGACCCUUUGCCCCUCGGGGCAGGGUGCAGCAUGGCCCCAUCCCUACUGCAUGCAGUGGGGUGGAGGAAGAGCGUGCGCGGUGAGACCCGAAAGAUGGUGAACUAUUCCUGAGCAGGACGAAGCCAGAGGAAACUCUGGUGGAAGUCCGAAGCGGUUCUGAC